ACAUCAAUAAAUUUAUCCAUUGAUGAAGGGUGCCGAAUAUCCAAGUUUAAUACCAAACAGACAUCGCAUCAGAGCCUAACAUCUGAAGCUGAAUGCUCCAAUCAAGCCACUAUCUAGACUGGGUCACAUACCGGUCCGGCACACUUCUAGUGAGCACCGCACGCUGCAAGGGCUGUCACCUCCAUCUUCUAUCGAUCCAUCAUCAGAGCAGAACUGAUGCAUUGACCUAAUCAGACAUCUCUACCAUCGACGCCACCACGACGCCAGACAGUGUCACCCUCCUGCGCGAGUCCGUCAAACCGCAUCGGACGCCGAGCCUCCAUUGCGCCACGCCGCCGAGACCCGCCGUCAUCGAUGCGGAAUAUGAAACCCCGCUUCGCCUCUGGGCCCUUCCAAUCAACACCUGCUCCAAAAUUAUGCCUUCAAGAGGAAGAAUGAUAUCAGAGUUUUCGUCAUCAUCCAAGUAAAUGUCUCCUGAAGGAAGAGGGGCACGCCAAUUGCAACUGCCCAUGAGCACUUAGAUCUCACGACAACGCUUUCAAAAAAGACACCGCGUCAAGAAUGUCGUCACUGUCCUAGGGUUUUUAUCCGAGAAACCGUGAAGUGAAAAAAGAUGGGGCAAACCCAAACGACGUCUCUAGGAAGACGCGGCCGGCAGGAGCCAGCCAACCAGGGAAUUAUCCCAAUCCGAAUCCCCAUCUCCCGUUCCGCCCCACCCGGCGACCGGCAAGCAGCACAGCCAUAUUCGUUACGACAAGAGUGCACGAUGCAAGUAUUGGAGGAAGAAGCAGCUCAACGCUGUUGGUCACUGAGGCACCAACUCGCCGGUGGAUCGCCGACCAUCUGAGCCGGCAGCCUACCCGCCCUGCCGCGCCACCGGACAUGAAGGCCAACCUCGGGGUCGUCGCCUCGGAUCCAAGUCCCUCCGCCCUAGAUCGGGAGGAGCAGCGCCAGCCCUGCCACCGCCGUCGAUAGGACGCCGGCCAACCGCCACACCGCCGUAGUUUAGAUCUGGGUUGUCAUGAACCAGAUCGGCGCCGCCGCAGCCCAGAUCGGAGUCACACUCUCGAGCCAGGGAGCCCCGCGUCACCCUUUGACCCGUGAGAAGGAGGAGUGCCUCCGACGCUGCCGGCGCACGCACAGGCUAAGCCCGGCGCCUACCACCGGCGGUGACAGAGGGGAGGGAGAGAAAGGAGCGGUGACCAGACGGAGGGGAGCACUAGGUAGAUAAUUUCUCUCCUCUUUCUCCCCCCGCUGGUCAUGGCGCCGGCGAAAAUCCACCUCCGACAGCCAUAGAGAGCAGCAGCAGCACCGGGCAUCAGGAGGGCUCGUGACCCUCCCCGUACCCGAGCUCGAUUUGCUUAUCAGAGCUUGAAGAUGCUGGCCGUAACGCAGGCAGGAGGAUGCCGCCGGGCGCCGGCCAUCCUUUGCCUCGCCGACGUAUUUGAUCUGCGGAAGCUGUGAGCUCCCGGUAGUCGGUACUACUUACUGUUGCUACUGCUCCGCCACACCCCCCUCCUCUGCAAUCCCUGCAAUGUUACACAAAAAAAUCUACGAGUAGUACAAUGCUUAAAAUUAGUUGACUGUGGAUGGUGUUUAAGAUUUUUUUGCUGUCGUUGUAUAGUUUGUAGCUGCGUGCAGAAUACAACCAAAAUAAAGUUAGUGUACCGUCAGGUGUAGCACAAAGGGGAAAAAGGGAAGCAGAACCUGGGGCAUCCGAGUCUAGAACUUGGCAUUCAGUGAAAUGAACCAAACUGACUGACAUUGCACGAGCUGAUAAGUGAGUGCUCACCAUGUCAAGAGAGAAAAAUACAUUUUUUUCGAUAAAUAACACAUCAGUUUUGUUUGUGGGAAUCAAAAUCCAUCGACGGUUCAAAUCAGAAAUAUAGAUACGCACAUCAUCAUCUAGAUUCACCGGUGGUUAGACGUAUCGCCCUUUGUAUUAUAUUACAUUCAGGCAAAACAUACAACAUGCACAUAAUUUGAGGAAGGGCGAAAAAGAUACAUUCAGAAAGGAUGCAUCCUUCUCUCAUGCCACCGCAACAAGGGGACAAAGACAUCUGAAUUAGGAAUAGUAGUAAUAAUACUUAGACAUGUCCGCCACUCGUAAAUCUUCUUAAAGUUCCACCAGCAAGAAGCUCGUAAACCUUCUUAAAGUUCCACCUGCAAGGAAAAAAAAACAGAAAAUAACUUGAGUGCGCAAACUGUUUAUCCUAAACCAUCAUUCCAAACAAGCAAGGCAGGGAAGGAUGGAGAGCAAGUCACAGAUAAGUUUAAAACAGAACUUUAUUAUGAGUAUCUCGGUCCUUGUACUGAAAAUAUACGGGGACUGUAAUAUCUGACCGUAAACAGCAGUAAAUAUUAAAGAAGAACAUGAGGGCAUAGUAAGCUACAGUACCUUGCAUCCUCUCCGCUCCAGCUCCUUCAGUGUGCUGUCAUCUCCAGAAAUCGGGGACUUACUCAUUAGUUUCAAAUUCUUGAGGGAUGGAAGGUGCAGCAAUCCGCUUGGGAACUUCCACAUCUCCUUGCACAACCAAAGUGUCAGGUGGGAGAGCUUUGGCAUUGUUCCUACCUCCAUCCUCCACUCCUCGAUGGAGAAAAUAUCAAGUUUUAACUCUUGUAGGCGAGGAAACCCUUGGGCAGAGAACGACAUGGUUCGACCUUUAUACCCUGACAACUCCAAUACCACAAGACAGGGAAGCUUCUCCAGGAUCGGCAUCGGGUCUAUUUCAAUGACAUCAGCUUCUAGAUAGAGAUGCCGAAGGCUCUGCGGGAAGUGAUUACUCUCUGGAAGCUUAUCAAGCACACCAAAACUGGCGAGAUGAAUAUCAACCAGGUGAGGCAUGUACGCAAAUAUAUUCAUUAUCUUAGCAUGCAUGGGCUUCAUUACCAAGAACAAGGUUGUUAGUUGUCUCAUUUUUCUGAAAAUUUUCACCAUGUCAUGAUAGCGAUAUUUGGUACCAGCAGAUGCACAAGUCAACCAUAAGGUCUGGAGAUCUUUGUGUCCCACACUCCUUGGUGAAGAAAAUGCACUGCUCAGGUAAACAUGCCUUAGAGUGGGAAUAUUCCAAAGAGAGUUUGGUACUGUUGAGUCCAAGUUUGUUUUCCUCAGGUCUAUAAUCUGCAAGUAAAGGAGUUCUUCAAUUGAAGAAGGGAGUGUUACAUUUCCACAUCUUCUCAACCUAAGGCACCUUAGAUGAAUGCACCCACCAAUGGCUGGAGAGAAACUCUCGAGGUCUGAGUUUUCAAUGUGAAGAACUCUCAGGAAUCUCAGCUUAGGAAAGACCCGUGACUGUGGAGUGCGAAGGACGAACUGGUGGGGAAAGACCAGUUCUUUGGAAAUAUUGGUGGACGGUAAGCAUCGGCCAGCAAUGCUUGUUGAAUCUGCAUGGACUUCUUUGUCACCACGAAAUUGCUGUACGGACGACAGUCGCCGGCCGAACUGUGGACGACGGGAGGAGUGGACGGUGAUGCUCACUUUUGCUAAUUGCAUGGAUGGCUUGAUGCGCUGCAUCGAUUCCAAAUCGUCCACAAUGUGUCGGCUGUGUAGCAGCGUUGUUGUCACCAUCGUGGUCGUCAUAACACAUUUUCCUGCUGCAGCAGUCAUACUGGUGCCGACCACGUCUAUUCGUCGCUGGUGCUGCGUUCAAAUGUACCGGGAAUAUACGAGGAUCAGUUUUAUAUCUGACCACCUGUUUUUCCUCUUUCACACGUGGAUUUGACUCUAGGGACAACUGUAAAAAUGUCCGAGGGGACCAAAAAAGGAAACAAACGUGUUACUGACUA